AGCUUAUUGGACCAGUUUCUCUCAGUGUAAUCCAGGCACACACUUUUCAUUCUUUUAUGUACUUUGCAGCAUUGUCAUGAAUUGUCUGUCUGCAGAAGUUAAAAACAUUUGGCUUUUCAAGACCCAGCAUGAGAAAGAUUACUGCUGUUCUACAGAGACUGAAAGUGGUCUGAUAUAAAUAAAAGAAACAUGAGAAAACAACUACACAGGUAAGAAAUAACAUGCUUUUUUAAUGACAAACAUGUUAAAUUCCACAUAUAACCGUAAUGGACCAACCGCCUUGCAUGAUUCAGUGCAAUGUUGACUACAGCCAAUGGGGCGGGCGCACUUUGUUCAAUUAGUGGCUUCCUGAACAAUUAAAAAAAAAAAAAGACCAAUGAGUUUAUGAAUAA